AUCGCUUCUUGGCCUUUUGGCUAAGAUCGAGUGUAUGUUUAUAUGUGUAUAUAUAUGUAUGUAUGCAUAUAUACAUGUGUGUAUAUAUAUGCAUAUGUGUGUACAUACAUGCAUAUAUACAUAUUCUAU
ensembl:snRNA U2 U2 spliceosomal RNA